rnacentral:piRNA from 1 species
UGCAUCACUGAAAUGCCAUCUUUCCUCGGCC